rnacentral:misc_RNA from 1 species
GAUGAAGAACGUAGCGAAAUGCGAUAAGUAAUGUGAAUUGCAGAAUUCAGUGAAUCAUCGAAUCUUUGAACGCACCUUGCGCCUUUUGGUAUUCCGAAAGGCACACCUGUUUGAGCGUCGUGAAUACCUCAAUCUCCAUCUUUUCUUCGGAUUGAUGGGUGACUUGGAUGUUGAGCCCUGCUGGUAUGCUAUAUCAGCUGGCUUUAAACUUAUUAGCCGGCUCUGUACUGGAUCGGUUUGACUCGACGUGAUAAUAUUAUCGUUGAGGAUGCAUGUCUCAUGCAGCCGGAAAGUAUCAAAGCAGCUUCUAGCUUGCCUUUAGUGCACUUUUACAUUUUAGACCUCAGAUCAGGUGGGACUACCCGCUGAACUUAAGCAUAUCAAUAAGCGGAGGA